GACGAACGCUGGCGGCGUGCUUAACACAUGCAAGUCGAACGGAAAGGCCCUGCUUUUGUGGGGUGCUCGAGUGGCGAACGGGUGAGUAACACGUGAGUAACCUGCCCUUGACUUUGGGAUAACUUCAGGAAACUGCGGCUAAUACCGGAUAGGAGCUCCUGCUGCAUGGUGGGGGUUGGAAAGUUUAGGCGGUUGGGGAUGGACUCGCGGCUUAUCAGCUUGUUGGUGGGGUAGUGGCUUACCAAGGCUUUGACGGGUAGCCGGCCUGAGAGGGUGAACGGCCACAUUGGGACUGAGAUACGGACCAGACUCCUACGGGAGGCAGCAGUGGGGAAUAUUGCACAAUGAGCGGAAGCGUGAUGAAGCAACGCCGCGUGCGGGAUGACGGCCUUCGGGUUGUAAACCGCUUUCGCCUGUGACGAAGCGUGAGUGACGGUAAUGGGUAAAGAAGCACCGGCUAACUACGUG
rnacentral:rRNA from 1 species